AUUGAACGCUGGCGGCAGGCCUAACACAUGCAAGUCGAACGGUAACAGGAAGAAGCUUGCUUCUUUGCUGACGAGUGGCGGACGGGUGAGUAAUGUCUGGGAAACUGCCUGAUGGAGGGGGAUAACUACUGGAAACGGUAGCUAAUACCGCAUAACGUCGCAAGACCAAAGAGGGGGACCUUCGGGCCUCUUGCCAUCGGAUGUGCCCAGAUGGGAUUAGCUAGUAGGUGGGGUAACGGCUCACCUAGGCGACGAUCCCUAGCUGGUCUGAGAGGAUGACCAGCCACACUGGAACGGAGACACGGUCCAGACUCCUACGGGAGGCAGCAGUGGGGAAUAUUGCACAAUGGGCGCAAGCCUGAUGCAGCCAUGCCGCGUGUAUGAAGAAGGCCUUCGGGUUGUAAAGUACUUUCAGCGGGGAGGAAGGGAGUAAAGUUAAUACCUUGACUCAUUGACGUUACCCGCAGAAGAAGCACCGGCUAACUCCGUG
rnacentral:rRNA from 1 species